rnacentral:rRNA from 1 species
ACUACGGGAGGCAGCAGUGAGGAAUAUUGGUCAAUGGGCGGAAGCCUGAACCAGCCAAGUAGCGUGCGGGAUGAAGGCCCUACGGGUCGUAAACCGCUUUUGCACGGGGAUAACACCCUCCACUUGUGGAGGUCUGCAGGUACCGUGCGAAUAAGGGCCGGCUAAUUCCGUGCCAGCAGCCGCGGUAAUACGGAAGGCCCGAGCGUUAUCCGGAUUCAUUGGGCUUAAAGGGAGCGUAGGCGGGCGUGCAAGUCAGCGGUAAAAUCGCGGGGCUCAACCGCGCCCCGCAGUUGAAACUGGACGCGUUGAGUUAACAACAGGCAGGCGGAAUUCGUGGUGUAGCGGUGAAAUGCAUAGAUAUCACGAGGAACCCCGAUUGCGAAGGCAGCCUGCCGGGGUGCGACUGACGCUGAGGCUCGAAGGUGCGGGUAUCAAACAGGAGUAGAUACCCGUGUAGUC